rnacentral:rRNA from 1 species
UACAGAGGGGUGCAAACGUUUGCUCGGAAUUAUUGGGCGUAAAGCGCGUGUAGGCGGCUUGUUAUGUCGGUCGUGAAAGCCCACGGCUCAACCGGUGGAAGUGCAACCGAAACUGGCAGCUUGAGUCCUGACGAGGAUGGCGGAAUUCCCAGUGUAGAGGUGAAAUUCGUAGAUAUUGGGAGGAACAUCGGUGGCGAAGGCGGCCAUCUGGGAAGCGACGUGACGCUGAGACGCGAAAGCGUG